CGCGAUUUUCAACCCACAGUCCCAGAUUUCUCAGUCUUCGCCGAAACCUGAAAAUGGAAUUACUUGGUAUACCACUACACUGCGACUGUGACUUCGGGGUGUUAUGUUAUUGUAACUGUCUCUGCGUUGUGUAAAAUAAAGCAGUUUUCAUUCUAAUUUUACGAAAUUUGCUCUAGAGACCAUGAAUCGGAAGGAUUCUCGAAUUGUGAACUUCCUCGAAAGCCCCAUUGUUUACACCAUUGUUAUUGUGACUAGUUUUCAACCUCCUUUGAUUGGCUGAAACCUCAAUGAGGAGGAAGGAGUUCAGUGGUAUGCAAGUAGCAGGAAAGACCUGGACAGUUUACUGGACAACAAAAGGUCAACAGCACACAAGCCAUUGUGGAACGGUGGGAGAGGUCUGUGAGGGACGACCAAGAGGAAUUAGAAAGAGCCAAACAGGCAGAAGAAAAACAAUUGAGUGAAAUUGGUAAAGAAACUAAGAAGGUGGAAGAAAUGAAAUCGAUGCGAAUGUGUCAAAAGAACGACCUAGACAAUAUGGAUGAAGGCAUGGCCUUGGCUUGACGAGAUAUGGGAGCAGUAACAAAAGACCUGCUGAACAUUCAGAAGUCUAUAACUAGUUUAGAAGCGAAUAUUGAAAAAAAGAAGUGAAAGGCACAGCAUUUUAAAUAAAUCAAAGAUGGAAGAUAUCGUUAUUUCGAUGUCGCUUGGUAACAUGGAAGACAUUGGGCAAGAUAGUAAUAUGCUACCGGAAGUAUGAAUAGCGAGUCUGUCACAACCAGUGGUAGCGAUUCAGUUAGCAUUCCACAAAAAUCUCAAGAGAUAUAUGAGAGAGAAGAAAGAAUUGUUGUCGACUAUUCUAAUCUACCUGACAAGUAUAAAAAUCUUCUUGUAUCGGAUGAAAUACGCCGUGAAGGUGAUCUCCUAGAACGUCGCGUGAACGAGUUGAGCCGUACAGUUCAGCAUAUUUAAGCCCCUAAUAUGCGGGCUGUGGAAAAAUUAGACUUGGCAGGAGAAAAACUACAAGGGACCAACACAGAGUUUGAAAAGGCUCGCGCCAAAACCAAGAAAGCUCAACAGACAUUUGAAAGAGUAAAACAAGAGCGCUUUGAUCUCUUUAUGUCUUGUUUGAACACGAUUUGAAUAAAAUCGAUGGCAUUUAUAAUUCGUUGGCGAGGAACAAUUUUGCUCAAGCCGUUUACCCCAGCCGUCAGAGCGCCCCUAUCGGCCUGACGGUGCAAUAGCGCAAAACCUCAUUCGAGCUGCACCGUCAGCCUGACGGUGCAAUAGAAUUUUCGCCUACGCCGGAUCUAUGCAGACGCACCUACCCCCUAUCACAUCACAACACUGCCUAAUUCCAGAAUUCUUCCAAGAAAGCUCUGUGACUUAGCCGAAGGCCAACGCUUGCAACGCGAGCCCUAGUUAUUUUUUUCAGCGUUGCCACAGAGCUAAGCUCCAACCACUACAGACUCCCUUUUAGUCCCAAUUAACCCCACAUUAACGUCCCAAAUAUCCCCUCUAAAACGCUUUUGGGAAAACUUGAAUUAUUAAACACAUUUUUGAAGUAAGAAAUUUUAUUUUUGGGGGGAUUAAAGAUAAAAGCUGUAUCUAAACUUUCGCUAUUUCACUUUUCUUUUUAAAAAAAUUUAUAAAUUUUUAGUAAAGUGAGAAAAGGAACGUAUGAAAAAAGGGGGCCUUUCCUAUUUUCCCUUUUCUUUCCUUGGGCCGAUUCUCUGAAGAUUUGGUCGAGAAAACAGUAAACAACAGGGGAAACAUUUAAAUUUAACAGAUUUUAUUUUAAAUAGGUUACCAAAAUUGUUACUAAAAUGUAGCUUGUUCAAUUACCUUUCACAUUAAAUUAUUCCAAGUUUUCUUCUGUUAACUGGGAACGUUUCACGAAUAUUUUUUCGCGACACCCGGCGAUAACUUUUUUCCCCUAUUCGAAUAUCACUCAAGAGAAACAGGAACAAGAGGGAAGCAUAGCGGAUUCCACAGGGGUGCGUUCACAAACCAGGGGGGUACACGUCAUGAUCUUUCUCUAUUUUAGAUCCUCUUAUUCUGUUUCAAUUUUUUAGAAUAAAUUCCUAUUCUGGUUUGAAUGAUUUCUUCGUAGCUAGCUUUAUUACCAGCGGCUUCAUUCCACAAUAAGCCGAAAUUAUUGCGGAAAUUCUCCGCGCCCGUCACGUCUUGUCACAAACUAUUCUUAUAGCAAUCGAUUUUGAACUUUCAUGCGGUCCCAGAAUGCCAAUCGUCGUUCGAAAGGCAUUUUGUCAUUGACAAAGGUCGGUUGACUGUUGAUGUUCAAGUAGCGCGUCUUUCCUUGCUCGACCGGCAGCCACUGGUCGUCAACGUGGUGACUUCGAGGAGCCCUGCAUUGAAUUUGAAUAUUUCAGUCCGGUAUAGGAUAUAUACUAUAAUCUAAAUCUAAUAUAUACCCAUCUUUGGCAAAGGACGUCCAUAAGUCGAGAAGAGUUUCCGACACUUUGACAUCGUCUGGAGUGCUGAUGAGAGGCAGGUAUCCAGCGGUGAACAUCAGAAAUAGCUCGUCGGCGUGACACACUCCUAAAAGUGUAAUUCCGACGAGUUGGGGAAAGGAAAACUGUCCGCGAUGCGUGUAGAAAUAAUAAAAGGUCGGGUAAUCGUUGAACUGGCUGAAAAGGUUGACGGAGUCGUCGGUGCAUUUGA